UACGUAGGGACCGAGCGUUGUCCGGAAUCAUUGGGCGUAAAGAGCGUGUAGGCGGCCGAUCAAGUUCCGCGUGAAAUCUCACGGCUCAACCGUGAGCAGCCGUGGAAAACUGGUCGGCUAGAGUGCGGGAGAGGAGAGUGGAAUUCCUGGUGUAGCGGUGAAAUGCGCAGAUAUCAGGAAGAACACCCGUGGCGAAGGCGGCUCUCUGGAACGCAACUGACGCUGAGACGCGAAAGCGUGGGGAGCAAACAGGAUUAGAUACCCUGGUAGUCCACGCCGUAAACGAUGGAUGCUAGGUGUGGGCGGUGUCGACUCCGUCCGUGCCGAAGCUAACGCAUUAAGCAUCCCGCCUGGGGAGUACGGCCGCAAGGCUAAA
rnacentral:rRNA from 1 species